AUGAUAGAGGUUGCGUGGUUCAUCAGUAGAAAGCAGGAUGCGUUCAGGUGCAGGAGACAGCUUUUGAAAGGGAGACACGCCGAAAGGAUGCAGGUACCUGGGGCUGUAUUUCUUGGGCAUAGAGUGAAGAAUUCUAUGACUGUCAUCGAAUUUCGAUGGAGGGCUAUCUU
rnacentral:ncRNA from 1 species